AACUGACUUCAAUUAAGUGGAUAUUUGAAUCAGCUGUGAAACAUUGAUUAAUAACACCUGACUUGUCUUUGUCUCCAUUGUGCAGCCACCAUCAUGUCUCAGGCCAGCGACGAGCACACUCCUACGGUCCAAAAGGACCUGGAGGAUGUCGAUGAGAUGGCGGGGAUUGCUUCUGACAAAGUGACUCUGUGCAACAAGAUCCUGGAUGAUUUGAAAAACCUGGAUGAAGUUCUAAAGAGGAAAUCUCUCCAGGAUGUCACCAUACCACCACAAAAUGAGCCCAAGUGAUUUUCAUGUUGAAAUUGUAAUAAACACGGCACACUCUGC